GCUUGUCUCAAAGAUUAAGCCAUGCAUGUCUAAGUAUAAGUUAUAUACAGCGAAACUGCGAAUGGCUCAUUAAAACAGUUAUAGUUUAUUCGAUUAUUUUCUUCUACAUGGAUAACCGUAGUAAUUCUAGAGCUAAUACAUGCUGUCAAACCUGACUUUUCGGAAGGGUUGUAUUUAUUAGAUAUUAAACUAACCCUGGCAACAGGAUAGUGAUGAUUCAUAAUAACUGAGCGGAUCGCGGCCUCGCCGCGACGAAUCGUUCAAGUUUCUGCCCUAUCAGCUUUCGAUGGUAGUGUAUUGGACUACCAUGGCGAUCACGGGUAACGGGGAAUUAGGGUUCGAUUCCGGAGAGGGAGCCUGAGAAAUGGCUACCACAUCUAAGGAAGGCAGCAGG
rnacentral:rRNA from 1 species